GCGCUCCAGGUGCUCGAUCAGCUCGGCGCUCACGCGGCUCCCGGCCUUCCCCGAGUCGCUCACCGCGUACCGGCAGCCGCCGACUCCUUUUCCCUUGGAGCAGGGGAUGACCCCUGCUCGCAGCGCCGCCCGCAGCGUCCGACGCCACAUCUCCUCUUCCCUGCUUACGCGGGCGCUCCGACGUGACAUAAGCGGCGCGCCGCGAUGACGUGGGUGCGGCGCCGCACCUUCCACUGCCGGGCUGGUCGCCAUGAACAGCGUGGGGGAGGCCUGCACCGAUAUGAAGCGCGAGUACGACCAAUGCUUCAACCGCUGGUUUGCCGAGAAAUUCCUCAAGGGCGACGGCUCCGGGGACCCCUGCACCGACCUCUUCAAGCGCUACCAGCAGUGCGUGCAGAAAGCCAUAAAGGAGAAGGAGAUUCCUAUAGAAGGACUGGAGUUCAUGGGCCAUAGCAAAGAAAAAUCUGAAAGCUCUUCUUGACCUCGACAGCAUCCUUCAGGAUGACCUUUUCAACUACAAACAUUGAGACAUUAAAGACUGUACUGUGGUCCCUGAAGAUGACCACUGGUUUUACCAGCUUUUUAGAGGAAAGUUCCAUUAAGUUUCUUUUCAGAAGGUCUGUAUGACCUUUAGAUUAUCUGCUUCCAGGUGGUGGUAGAAGACACCUAGCUGGGGUGGCAUCUUACAGUAUCAAACAUGGCAUAAGAGAACGAUUCUUCAGAUGAUCAGAAUGUUACUUGGUCUGCUGCUCUUAUAAUACAGUUUGCGUUUAAGUAAUCAAUGCAGGAGUCAGGAUGGCUAGGUCGUCCUGAAUGCUGAAUCCAUGCUGCUAAAAAUUAAAGUUUUGGGUUUUUUUUUUUUUUUCCCCUGGAAGCACUGCUCCAGGAGCGACUCCAGUAUUUAAAGGGCAACCAUUUCAUUUGGAUAAAGACUGAAUAAUGGUUAAAGGAGUGGAGCAAGCCAAAAAGGGAUCUGCCUUUUCAGAGACAACUACCUGCUUUUAAAGAAGAGGGUUCAGAUGGAAUAAAAAACAAAGCAUUUUGCGCUCCCAAAGUUUGGUACUAAGUCCACAAAUUAAGGGUUUGCAAAGCAACUGACCUCUCCUCUGGUCCUCCCAACACUGAGGCAGAUGCUACUGUGAGUGACUUAUUCAUGUUCACAAAGCUAAAUACCUGGGGAAAUUGGAACUCGGGUCUUGACUCCAAUUCCAACACUUCUAUUGACUUUGUCAAUCUAUUUAACGUGGUAAUUUUGUAAGGGCAGAUACCAUCACUUCAGUUUCAUGCCACAGAAUUCACUUUGAAAAUCAUUAAAGGGCAGAGAAUAAUAAAUAGGCUCUUUACAUGGAGACUGUACUAAGCACUUAUUGUUAUUCCCCAUUUAUGGAUGAGGAAACCAGGACAUCUUUUAUGCUUCAGUGACUUCAGGGUCACACAUUUAGUAACUGUCUGAAGCCACAUUUGAACAAAGGUUUUCCUGACUCCAGGCACUUUAUUCACUAUGUUGGUAUGAGCUGUCUUGUAAAAAAGCAAUUAUUUAAACUUAUGAGAAAUAACAGCCUUAAACUUAAAUUGGAAAAUCCUUUUUAUUAAUGAGCAGAGCAUAGUAGAUAAGGUAUGGGGGUAGAUUAAAGACAUUUGCAGACACUAAUCUAUUAUUUUCAUGCUUUGUGCUCUUUAAGCUUUCAUACCCCACAGGGUUAGCCUCUCAGCUGCAUCAGUCAGGGGGCAUCAAUGAGAUAAUAUAUAGGAGAAAAGAUUUCUUAUUUGUGACAUCCAUGUCAUAAGCCAAGUAACAGUCUUGUAGCAGCUCUUUGAGGUUAAUGUACUAUUAAUGAUAAACCAUAUCCUGAAACUCAGCCAGGUCACCUAAAGCUCAGAAAUCAUUAUGUAUGUGAGUGUUAAUUUGGUGACAAAGACAAAAUUCAACAGUUCAUCAUAGAAUUAUUUAUUUAAGCUGUCCCAAUCACAAGCAAAAUGAAAAAGGUCAGCAUAUUUGUCACUGUGUGAUGCAAGUUAACUUAAGGUCCCAUGUAAUUUUCUGAUCCAUAUAGAGAGAAAAGGAUGGUCCAACAGCUGCUGUGGUCCC